UUAAACAUAAGAUAAUAAAUCUGUAGAUUUGUGGUAUCUAAUAUCCUAAUAGGUGUUUAAC
rnacentral:tRNA from 2 species